GCGAUCAUUCCAGCACUAAUGCAACUGAUCCCAUCAAAACACCAAAGUUAAACGUGCUUGGGCGAGAGCAGUACUAGGAUGGGUGACCCCUUGGGAAGUCCUCGUGUUGCACCU
rnacentral:rRNA from 1 species